rnacentral:rRNA from 1 species
UACGUAGGGGGCAAGCGUUGUCCGGAAUCAUUGGGCGUAAAGCGCGUGUAGGCGGCUUGGUAAGUCUGGUGUGAAAACUUGGGGCUUAACCCCAAGCCUGCACUGGAUACUGCCUGGCUAGAGUCCGGGAGGGGAGAGCGGAAUUCCCAGUGUAGCGGUGAAAUGCGCAGAUAUUGGGAAGAACACCGGUGGCGAAGGCGGCUCUCUGGAACGGUACUGACGCUGAGACGCGAAAGCGUGGGGAGCGAACAGG